rnacentral:rRNA from 1 species
GACAGAGGGUGCAACCGUUGUUCGGAAUUACUGGGCGUAAAGCGAGUGUAGGCGGUUCGAUAAGUCGGAUGUGAAAGCCCCGGGCUCAACCCGGGAAGUGCACUCGAUACUGUCGAGCUAGAGUAUCGGAGAGGUUGGUGGAAUUCUCGGUGUAGAGGUGAAAUUCGUAGAUAUCGAGAGGAACACCGGUGGCGAAGGCGGCCAACUGGACGAAUACUGACGCUGAGGUGCGAAAGCGUGGGGAGCAAACAGG